rnacentral:rRNA from 1 species
GGCGAACGCUGGCGGCAGGCCUAACACAUGCAAGUCGAACGAACUCUUCGGAGUUAGUGGCGGACGGGUGAGUAACACGUGGGAACGUGCCUUUAGGUUCGGAAUAACUCAGGGAAACUUGUGCUAAUACCGAAUGUGCCCUUCGGGGGAAAGAUUUAUCGCCUUUAGAGCGGCCCGCGUCUGAUUAGCUAGUUGGUGAGGUAACGGCUCACCAAGGCGACGAUCAGUAGCUGGUCUGAGAGGAUGGCCAGCCACACUGGGACUGAGACACGGACCAGACUCCUACGGGAGGCAGCAGUGGGGAAUCUUGCGCAAUGGGCGAAAGCCUGACGCAGCCAUGCCGCGUGAAUGAUGAAGGUCUUAGGAUUGUAAAAUUCUUUCACCGGGGACGAUAAUGACGGUACCCGGAGAAGAAGCCCCGGCUAACUUCGUGCCAGCAGCCGCAGUAA